GACGAACGCUGGCGGCGCGCCUAACACAUGCAAGUCGAACGAGAGAGAAGGAGCUUGCUUCUUCGAUCGAGUGGCGAACGGGUGAGUAACGCGUGAGGAACCUGCCUCAAAGAGGGGGACAACAGUUGGAAACGACUGCUAAUACCGCAUAAGCCCACAGGUCGGCAUCGACCAGAGGGAAAAGGAGCAAUCCGCUUUGAGAUGGCCUCGCGUCCGAUUAGCUAGUUGGUGAGGUAAUGGCCCACCAAGGCGACGAUCGGUAGCCGGACUGAGAGGUUGAACGGCCACAUUGGGACUGAGACACGGCCCAGACUCCUACGGGAGGCAGCAGUGGGGAAUAUUGCACAAUGGGGGAAACCCUGAUGCAGCGACGCCGCGUGGAGGAAGAAGGUCUUCGGAUUGUAAACUCCUGUUGUUGAGGAAGAUAAUGACGGU
rnacentral:rRNA from 1 species